GUGUCAGCCGCCGCGGUAAUACGUAGGUGGCAAGCGUUGUCCGGAUUUACUGGGCGUAAAGGGAGCGUAGGUGGAUGUUUAAGUGGGAUGUGAAAUACCCGGGCUCAACUUGGGUGCUGCAUUCCAAACUGGAUAUCUAGAGUGCAGGAGAGGAAAGUGGAAUUCCUAGUGUAGCGGUGAAAUGCGUAGAGAUUAGGAAGAACACCAGUGGCGAAGGCGACUUUCUGGACUGUAACUGACACUGAGGCUCGAAAGCGUGGGGAGCAAACAGGAUUAGAUACCCUGGUAGUCCACGCCGUAAACGAUGGAUACUAGGUGUGGGGGUUUCAACACCUCCGUGCCGCCGUUAACACAAUAAGUAUCCCGCCUGGGGAGUACGGUCGCAAGAUUAAA
rnacentral:rRNA from 1 species